rnacentral:rRNA from 1 species
ACGAACGCUGGCGGCACGCUUAACACAUGCAAGUCGAACGAGAGAAGAGAAGCUUGCUUUUCUGAUCUAGUGGCGGACGGGUGAGUAACACGUGAGCAAUCUGCCUUUCAGAGGGGGAUACCGAUUGGAAACGAUCGUUAAUACCGCAUAACAUAAUUGAACCGCAUGAUUUGAUUAUCAAAGAUUUAUCGCUGAAAGAUGAGCUCGCGUCUGAUUAGCUAGUUGGUAAGGUAACGGCUUACCAAGGCGACGAUCAGUAGCCGGACUGAGAGGUUGAUCGGCCACAUUGGGACUGAGACACGGCCCAGACUCCUACGGGAGGCAGCAGUGGGGAAUAUUGCACAAUGGAGGAAACUCUGAUGCAGCGAUGCCGCGUGAGGGAAGAAGGUUUUAGGAUUGUAAACCUCUGUCUUCAGGGACGAAAAAAGACGGUACCUGAGGAGGAAGCUCCGGCUAACUACGUGCCAGCAGCCGCGGUAAUACGUAGGGAGCGAGCGUUGUCCGGAAUUACUGGGUGUAAAGGGAGCGUAGGCGGGAUCGCAAGUCAGAUGUGAAAACUAUGGGCUUAACCCAUAAACUGCAUUUGAAACUGUGGUUCUUGAGUGAAGUAGAGGUAAGCGGAAUUCCUAGUGUAGCGGUGAAAUGCGUAGAUAUUAGGAGGAACAGCAGGGGCGAAGGAGGAUUCCUGCGCUUUCACUGCCCCUGAGGCUCGAAAGCGGGGGGAGCAAACAGGAUUAGAUACCCUGGUAGUCCACGCCGUAAACGAUGAUUACUAGGUGUGGGGGGACUGACCCCUUCCGUGCCGCAGCAAACGCAAUAAGUAAUCCACCUGGGGAGUACGACCGCAAGGUUGAAACUCAAAGGAAUUGACGGGGGCCCGCACAAGCAGUGGAGUAUGUGGAUUAAUUCGAAGCAACGCGAAGAACCUUACCAGGUCUUGACAUCGUAUGCAUAGCUCAGAGAUGAGUGAAAUCUCUUCGGAGACAUAUAGACAGGUGGUGCAUGGUUGUCGUCAGCUCGUGUCGUGAGAUGUUGGGUUAAGUCCCGCAACGAGCGCAACCCUUACUGUUAGUUGCUACGCAAGAGCACUCUAGCAGGACUGCCGUUGACAAAACGGAGGAAGGUGGGGAUGACGUCAAAUCAUCAUGCCCCUUAUGACCUGGGCCUCACACGUACUACAAUGGCUGUCAACAGAGGGAAGCAAAGCCGCGAGGUGGAGCAAACCCCUAAAAGCAGUCUUAGUUCGGAUUGUAGGCUGCAACCCGCCUACAUGAAGUCGGAAUUGCUAGUAAUCGCAGAUCAGCAUGCUGCGGUGAAUACGUUCCCGGGCCUUGUACACACCGCCCGUCACGCCAUGGGAGUCGGUAACACCCGAAGCCUGUAGUCUAACCGCAAGGAGGACGCAGUCGAAGGUGGGAUUGAUGACUGGGGUG